AUAAAAAACCAACGCCCUUCGGGGCUCCUUGGUGAAUCAUAAUAACUUAACGAAUCGCAUGGCCUUGCGCCGGCGAUGGUUCAUUCAAAUUUCUGCCCUAUCAACUUUCGAUGGUAGGAUAGUGGCCUACCAUGGUGGCAACGGGUAACGGGAAUUAGGGUUCGAUUCCGGAGAGGGAGCCUGAGAAACGGCUACCACAUCCAAGGAAGGCAGCAGGCGCGCAAAUUACCCAAUCCCGAUACGGGGAGGUAGUGACAAUAAAUACUGAUACGGGGCUCUUUUGGGUCUCGUAAUUGGAAUGAGAACAAUUUAAAUCCCUUAACGAGGAACAAUUGGAGGGCAAGUCUGGUGCCAGCAGCCGCGGUAAUUCCAGCUCCAAUAGCGUAUAUUAAAGUUGUUGCAGUUAAAAAGCUCGUAGUUGAACCUUGGGUCUGGCUGGCCGGUCCGCCUCACCGCGAGUACUGGUCCGGCUGGACCUUUCCUUCUGGGGAACCUCAUGGCCUUCACUGGCUGUGG
rnacentral:rRNA from 1 species